UACGUAGGGUGCGAGCGUUGUCCGGAAUUAUUGGGCGUAAAGAGCUCGUAGGCGGCUUGUCGCGUCGGAUGUGAAAGCCCGAGGCUUAACCUCGGGUCUGCAUUCGAUACGGGCAGGCUAGAGUGUGGUAGGGGAGAUCGGAAUUCCUGGUGUAGCGGUGAAAUGCGCAGAUAUCAGGAGGAACACCUGCGGUGUAGACAGCUUACUGGACCACGACUGACGCUGAGGCACGAAAGCGUGGGUAGCAAACAGG
rnacentral:rRNA from 1 species